rnacentral:rRNA from 1 species
GAUAAGAGGCGAUGAAGGACGUGAUACGCUGCGAUAAGGCAUGGGGAGCUGCGAAUAAGCUUUGAUCCGUGCAUUUCCGAAUGGGGCAACCCACUUGUGAGGUUUCUUGUUUGUGUUUCCAGUGCUUGCACUGGGAAGACGAUCAGGACGCUGAAACAGGUAUUUUAGACCUGAAUAUAUAGGGUUUAAAAAGCAAACCCGGGGAACUGAAACAUCUAAGUACCCGGAGGAAAGGAAAUCAAUUGAUACUCCCCUAGUAGCGGCGAGCGAACGGGGACCAGCCGAGCCUCAAUUGUGAUUAGAAUGGUCUGGAAUGGCCAACCAUAGAGGGGGACAGUCCCGUAUAAGAAGCAUGAGAGGACGUAUUCAGAAGGGCGGGACACGGGGAAGUCUGUCUGAAGAUCGGAGGAACACCCUCGAGGGCGAAGUACUCCUUACUGACCGAUAGUGAACCAGUACCGUGAGGGAAAGGUGAAAAGCACCCCGACGAGGGGAGUGAAACAGACCUGAAACCGGACGCCUACAAUCAGUUGGAGCCUCUUUAUGGGGUGACAGCGUACCUUGUGUAUAAUGGGUCAGCGACUUAGUGUUGCGAGCAAGCUUAAGCCGAUAGGUGUAGGCGCAGCGAAAGCGAGUCUUAAUAGGGCGUUUUAGUUCGUAGCAUUAGACCCGAAACCGAGUGAUCUAGCCAUGGGCAGGCUGAAGGUGCAGUAACAUGCACUGGAGGGCCGAACCCACUUCUGUUGAAAAAGAACGGGAUGACCUGUGGCUAGGGGUGAAAGGCCAAUCAAACUCGGAGAUAGCUGGUUCUCCGCGAAAUCUAUUUAGGUAGAGCGUCGGAUUUAUUCCUUGGGGGGUAUAGCACUGGAUGGGCUAUGGGGACUCACCGUCUUACGGAUCCUAACCAAACUCCGAAUACCCAAGAGAACUGUCCGGCAGACACACUGCGGGUGCUAAGGUCCGUAGUGGAAAGGGAAACAGCCCUGACCGACAGCUAAGGUCCCUAAGUUAUGGCUAAGUGGGAAAGCAUGUGAGACUUCCAAAACAACCAGGAUGUUGGCUUAGAAGCAGCCAUCAUUUAAAGAAAGCGUAACAGCUCACUGGUCAAGCGAUCCUGCGCGGAAAAUGUAACGGGGCUCAAGCCGUUCGCCGAAGGUAUGGGCGCGCAAGCGCGGUAGCGGAGCGUUCCGUAAGCCUGUGAAGGUCAGCCGUGAGGCUGGCUGGAGGUAUCGGAAGUGAGAAUGCUGACAUGAGUAGCGACAAAGAGGGUGAGAGACCCUCUCGCCGAAAGUCCAAGGGUUCCUGCGUAAAGCUAAUCUGCGCAGGGUUAGCCGGCCCCUAAGGCGAGGCCGAAAGGCGUAGUCGAUGGGAACCAGGUAAAUAUUCCUGGGCCAGUUGGAAGUGACGAAUUACGUAACUUGUUCAGGCUUAUUGGAUUGUCUGGGCAGGGAAGUAGUUCCAGGAAAUAACUC